rnacentral:rRNA from 1 species
GUGAGGAAUAUUGGACAAUGGAUGGAAAUCUGAUCCAGCCAUGCCGCGUGCAGGAAGACGGCCCUAUGGGUUGUAAACUGCUUUUGUAUGGGAGCAAUAAGGGCUACGUGUAGCCUGAUGAGAGUACCAUACGAAUAAGGACCGGCUAACUCCGUGCCAGCAGCCGCGGUAAUACGGAGGGUCCGAGCGUUAUCCGGAUUUAUUGGGUUUAAAGGGUGCGUAGGCGGUUUUAUAAGUCAGCGGUGAAAUUUUCCGGCUCAACCGGGAUACUGCCGUUGAUACUGUAAGGCUAGGAUAUGGUUGCUGUGGGUGGAAUGUGUGGUGUAGCGGUGAAAUGCUUAGAGAUCACACAGAAUAUCGAUUGCGAAGGCAGCUCACAAAGCCAUUAUUGACGCUGAGGCACGAAAGUGUGGGGAUCAAACAGGAUUAGAAACCCUAGUAGUCC